rnacentral:misc_RNA from 1 species
CCGAGUCUCACGACUCCCAAACCAUCGCGAACCUACCAGUACGUUGCCUCGGCGGGCGGCUCCAGGGCGGAGCCAGCAGCCCCCCUCGCGGGGGUGCCCGCCGCAGGCCCAACCAACCAGUGUCGUAUCUAGGCCCCUCUGAGCAACUGCGAGAGCAGAAACAAGUCA